rnacentral:rRNA from 1 species
UACGGGGGGUGCGAGCGUUGUCCGGAAUCACUGGGCGUAAAGGGCGCGUAGGUGGCCUGAUAGGGGUGUGGUGAAAGUCCGGGGCUCAACCCCGGAUCUGCCGUGCCGACUGUCAGGCUAGAGUACUGUAGGGGCAGGCGGAAUUCCCAGUGUAGAGGUGAAAUUCGUAGAUAUUGGGAAGAACACCGGUGGCGAAGGCGGCUCACUGGCCCGAAACUGACGCUCAGGCACGACAGCGUGGGGAGCAAACAGG